GAUGAACGCUGGCGGCGUGCCUAAUACAUGCAAGUCGAGCGACAAGACGAGGAGCUUGCUCUCCUGACGUUAGCGACGGACGGGCGAGUGAGACGUGGAUAACCAUCUACUUAGACUGGGGUAACUUCGGAAAGACGGAUACAAUACCGGAUCAUACAUUGAACCGCAUGGAGCAAUAGUUAAAGGCGGCUUUGCUGUCAGUUUUAGAUGAAUCCGCGCCGGAUUAGCUAGUUGGUAAGGUAACGGCCUACCAAGGCAACGAUGCGUAGCUGAGCUGAGAGGAUGAUCGGCCACACUGGAACUGAGACACGGUCCAGACUCCUACGGGAGGCAGCAGUAGGGAAUCUUCCGCAAUGGGCGAAAGCCUGACGCAGCAACACCGCGUGGGUGAUGAAGGUCUUCGGGUCGUAAAACCCUUUUAUUAGGGAAGAACAAAUGUGUAAGUAACUCUCGCCGUCUUGACGGUACCUAAUCAGAAAGCCACGGCUAACUACGUG
rnacentral:rRNA from 1 species